GCCACUUACCCCGGAUAUAGUAGGAUGAGGAGGAAAGGCAGGGCCCUGGACUCCACACCAGCACAUCUCAUGUGCUCAGAGUGCAUAGGAAUCGGCUGUCGAUUUUGAAGAUACACGUGCGCUGACCGGUUAGCUCAGGAGGCAACCCUGAACCUCGGAUCCCUUGACCAGCUCUUGCUAAACCCUUGGGGUCAAAGCAGCAGGACUUGAGUCUUGAAUGGACAGACAAACAGAAGCCAUGCUGUCCUUCACGUCACUGUUGUGUGGGAUUUCCCAUGUGAACACAGCUGGAGGAAUGACCCACCCACGCACCCGUGCAAACACUUUGAGGUAUGUCAUCUCAGAACUCACAUGGUAACAGCUUGCUUGGAAGCCUUUGCCUUAAACUCUUCUGGCCUCUCUGGCCUCUCUUCCGUCCUUCUGGCAUCUUCACGGGCCCAGCUCUAAAGCCAGGAACGUGGAGCACCCUUAUUCCACAGCCGCCUUUACUCCCCGACAUCAAGUCCACGGGCAGCAUCUUCCUCCUUUACCUAACACAUUUCCCCUCUUGGACGCCCUCUCAGGCCAUCACUUCUCUUCUGCCCCCACUGCUGGUCCACGACUACCUUCCCCCUCGUGACUUGUCAGUGGACCAUGCCUUUUCCCUGUGUGACAGCGGGGGCAGCUUCUCCCAGCCCGUGGGCAUGGUCCCUGCCUCCCUGUCCUACCUCAGCCCACACUGUUCUGGACCUUCUCAGUCGGCUGACACCCCCUUUCCAAUUCCAAGGGCACCUGGGUGACUCCGCCCUUUGCAGGGCCAGCACACCUGACCAUGAGCUCUCUGAUCAGGUACCAGCCCUGGAGUCUCCAUGGCAACCUGCCAGGCAAAGGUCCUCAUCCCUGCCCUGUGUUCACCGUCCUCCCAGCUCUCUCCUUAUCCCUACACAGUAACUCCUGCAUUUGAAGUUAUUUUAAAUGAUGCAGCUUGGAAAAUGUCUGCCCUUCUGGACAUAAACUCUUUGAACACAGUGGCCAUAUCUGUCUGUCUCCUAGGCCUAGGACAGUGCAAUCCACACAGUCUACACAGUAGGCACAGGGAGGAAAAUACGUUGUAUAUGUCAUAGGACCCCAGAGGAGGACUGGUGAGCCUGACAGACACUAUGGAAGAGUGGCAUCACCUGUGUCCCUGGGGGACUCCGCUCACUCAUUGUUUUCCCCAAGUCCAAAGAGUGACCUUGGUGUGUACCUGCCUCUCCUUUCCUGACCUUUUGUGUUGGUUUCCAGAGCCUGCUUAUGCCCUCAAAGGCCCCCAGUACUGAGGAAAAUGGACUCCUGCCUGGGGCGGGUUCCAGUGCUGUCCGCUGGGACAGACUCAUCCUCAAAGAGCCCCAUGGGUCUAUCUGGGCACAGGAACUACAAGAACGUCUCUGUUCCUGGUGGGGUUUUGUCGCUUUGUUUUCUUGUGUGCUCGGUGGCUUGUUCCUAACUCACAGCCAAUCACCGCACUGCCAGAUGGUGCGAAAGAUUUACCGGAAUUUCGUUUUCAAAUAAACCACAAGUUUGGAUGAGCUAAUGCUGUUCCACAUAAAAAAGCCACAAAAUUGGACAAAUUAACGUUGUUUCAAGAAGAGAAACUUGUUGAAGCCAUCAGCUUUGGCGGUCUCAAAUGACUGCCCGAGACCUACCAGGGGCCCCUCCUGCAGGAAGCCAGGACACCAAGAGCCCAGGAAGCCCCUGGCCCUUCGCCAGGCCUCCACAGAGCAACCUGAAGGCGCGUCUGUCAAGUUCACGUCCUCACACUAAGUGCCCACCGAUGGCAAUGUCCCCUCUGCCCUGUCAGGACCACAGGCUCGCUACAAAUGCUGACAGCCUGGGACUGCUCCCUGACACGGGCACUGACCCAGAGGGGCCUCCAUGGCAGCUGGGCAGAAGUCCCCAGGGCAGGGAGAGCAGCUGGCCCUCACCCUCAGCAGCAGUGGCAGAGAGCCUCUCUGAUAGGCUCUCAAGACCAGAGUCCUAGACGUUGCCGCUUCAAGAUCACAAGCAGGUUGAACAUGGCUCUCUCAGCCUUAAGAUGAAGACAACAGUAAAGCAAGUGCGUCAUCAUAGGAAGAAGCCUGGACAGAUAACUAAAAUCCUGUAGCACUGUCCCUCACACACAGUGAGUGUUCCAUAAGUGUGAAUGCUGUGUGCGGUAAUGGCGGUGGUGGUGGCAACGGUAGUGAUUGUAAUGGUGGUGGUGGUGGUGGUGAUGGUGAUGGUAGUGGUGGAAGUGGU